rnacentral:rRNA from 1 species
AGAGUUUGAUCAUGGCUCAGAUUGAACGCUGGCGGCAGGCCUAACACAUGCAAGUCGAACGGUAACAGGAAGCAGCUUGCUGCUUUGCUGACGAGUGGCGGACGGGUGAGUAAUGUCUGGGAAACUGCCUGAUGGAGGGGGAUAACUACUGGAAACGGUGGCUAAUACCGCAUAACGUCGCAAGACCAAAGAGGGGGACCUUCGGGCCUCUUGCCAUCAGAUGUGCCCAGAUGGGAUUAGCUUGUUGGUGAGGUAACGGCUCACCAAGGCGACGAUCCCUAGCUGGUCUGAGAGGAUGACCAGCCACACUGGAACUGAGACACGGUCCAGACUCCUACGGGAGGCAGCAGUGGGGAAUAUUGCACAAUGGGCGCAAGCCUGAUGCAGCCAUGCCGCGUGUAUGAAGAAGGCCUUCGGGUUGUAAAGUACUUUCAGCGGGGAGGAAGGUGUUGUGGUUAAUAACCACAGCAAUUGACGUUACCCGCAGAAGAAGCACCGGCUAACUCCGUGCCAGCAGCCGCGGUAAUACGGAGGGUGCAAGCGUUAAUCGGAAUUACUGGGCGUAAAGCGCACGCAGGCGGUCUGUCAAGUCGGAUGUGAAAUCCCCGGGCUCAACCUGGGAACUGCAUUCGAAACUGGCAGGCUUGAGUCUUGUAGAGGGGGGUAGAAUUCCAGGUGUAGCGGUGAAAUGCGUAGAGAUCUGGAGGAAUACCGGUGGCGAAGGCGGCCCCCUGGACAAAGACUGACGCUCAGGUGCGAAAGCGUGGGGAGCAAACAGGAUUAGAUACCCUGGUAGUCCACGCCGUAAACGAUGUCUACUUGGAGGUUGUGCCCUUGAGGCGUGGCUUCCGGAGCUAACGCGUUAAGUAGACCGCCUGGGGAGUACGGCCGCAAGGUUAAAACUCAAAUGAAUUGACGGGGGCCCGCACAAGCGGUGGAGCAUGUGGUUUAAUUCGAUGCAACGCGAAGAACCUUACCUGGUCUUGACAUCCACGGAAGUUUUCAGAGAUGGAAUGGUGCCUUCGGGAACCGUGAGACAGGUGCUGCAUGGCUGUCGUCAGCUCGUGUUGUGAAAUGUUGGGUUAAGUCCCGCAACGAGCGCAACCCUUAUCCUUUGUUGCCAGCGGUCCGGCCGGGAACUCAAAGGAGACUGCCAGUGAUAAACUGGAGGAAGGUGGGGAUGACGUCAAGUCAUCAUGGCCCUUACGACCAGGGCUACACACGUGCUACAAUGGCGCAUACAAAGAGAAGCGACCUCGCGAGAGCAAGCGGACCUCAUAAAGUGCGUCGUAGUCCGGAUUGGAGUCUGCAACUCGACUCCAUGAAGUCGGAAUCGCUAGUAAUCGUGGAUCAGAAUGCCACGGUGAAUACGUUCCCGGGCCUUGUACACACCGCCCGUCACACCAUGGGAGUGGGUUGCAAAAGAAGUAGGUAGCUUAACCUUCGGGAGGGCGCUUACCACUUUGUGAUUCAUGACUGGGGUGAAGUCGUAACAAGGUAACCGUAGGGGAACCUGCGGUUG